rnacentral:rRNA from 1 species
CCUACGGGGGGCUGCAGUGAGGAAUAUUGGUCAAUGGCCGUAAGGCUGAACCAGCCAAGUCGCGUGAAGGAUGAAGGCCCUAUGGUUUGUAAACUUCUUUUAUAGGGGAAUAAAGUUAUCCACGUGUGGAUCUUUGCAUGUACCCUAUGAAUAAGCAUCGGCUAACUCCGUGCCAGCAGCCGCGGUAAUACGGAGGAUGCGAGCGUUAUCCGGAUUUAUUGGGUUUAAAGGGUGCGUAGGCGGAACAUUAAGUCAGCGGUAAAAGCGAGGGGCUCAACCCCUUUAAGCCGUUGAAACUGGUGGUCUUGAGUGGGCGAGAAGUAGGCGGAAUGCGUGGUGUAGCGGUGAAAUGCAUAGAUAUCACGCAGAACUCCGAUUGCGAAGGCAGCAUACCGGAGCCCGACUGACGCUGAGGCACGAAAGCGUGGGGAUCGAACAGGAUUAGAUACCCCUGUAGUC